GACGAACGCUGGCGGCGUGCUUAACACAUGCAAGUCGAACGAAGUGGCGGACGGGUGAGUAACGCGUAAUCAACCUGCCCUUCAGGGGGGGACAACAGUUGGAAACGACUGCUAAUACCGCAAACUGAAGGCGGGGGUUGCGUUGGAUUAGCUAGUUGGUGGGGUAACGGCCCACCAAGGCGAAGUGCAGUAGCCGGUCUGAGAGGGUGAACGGACACAGUGGGAAUGGGGCAAGGCCCAGACCCCUAAGGGAGGCAGCAGUUGGGGAUCUUUGGAAAUUGGGGAAAGGCUGACGGAGGAAAGCCGCGUGAGUGAUGACGGCCUUCGGGUUGUAAAGCUCUGUUAAGCGGGACGCGGUACCGGAAUAGAAAGCCACGGCUAACUACGUGCCAGCAGCCGCGGUAAUUC
rnacentral:rRNA from 1 species